rnacentral:lncRNA from 1 species
GAGGUGCGUUAAAAGAAUAAAAUCGAGAAGAUAUCACCAAUCAUGGGUUUGAAUACCUCAUGCAUGUAAGUACUCCUUUUUUUUUUACUUCGGUGUAUGAUCGAUCUAAAUUUUUUGUCUUGUAGGUCACUGUAGAUUUUAAAGUCAUGUGUGAGAACAUGACCUAUCUGCUGAAGAAUAAAGGGGCCAUGGAUCCUAAUUUAAUCAUCCUCCAAGAGGAGAAAAAGGAGUCCGAACUUGCCGUCGGACUCAAAACCAACUUGAAGAGAAGCUGAAGGCUUUGA